GAAAUGCGAUAAGUAAUGUGAAUUGCAGAAUUCAGUGAAUCAUCGAAUCUUUGAACGCACAUUGCGCCCUUUGGUAUUCCAAAGGGCAUGCCUGUUCGAGCGUCAUUUGUACCCUCAAGCUUUGCUUGGUGUUGGGCGUCUUGUCUCCAGUUCGCUGGAGACUCGCCUUAAAGUCAUUGGCAGCCGGCCUACUGGUUUCGGAGCGCAGCACAAGUCGCGCUCUCAUCCAGCCAAGGUCUAGCAUCCAUUAAGCCUUUUUUUCAACUUUUGACCUCAGAUCAGGCGGGAAAACCCGCUGAACUUAA
rnacentral:misc_RNA from 1 species